GACGAACGUUGGCGGCGUGCUUAACACAUGCAAGUCGAACGGAAAGGCCCUGCUUUUGUGGGGUGCUCGAGUGGCGAACGGGUGAGUAACACGUGAGUAACCUGCCCUUGACUUUGGGAUAACUUCAGGAAACUGGGGCUAAUACCGGAUAGGAGCUCCUGCUGCAUGGUGGGGGUUGGAAAGUUUCGGCGGUUGGGGAUGGACUCGCGGCUUAUCAGCUUGUUGGUGGGGUAGUGGCUUACCAAGGCUUUGACGGGUAGCCGGCCUGAGAGGGUGACCGGCCACAUUGGGACUGAGAUACGGCCCAGACUCCUACGGGAGGCAGCAGUGGGGAAUAUUGCACAAUGGGCGGAAGCCUGAUGCAGCAACGCCGCGUGCGGGAUGACGGCCUUCGGGUUGUAAACCGCUUUCGCCUGUGACGAAGCGUGAGUGACGGUAAUGGGUAAAGAAGCACCGGCUAACUACGUGCCAGCAGCCGCGGUGAUACGUAGGGUGCGAGCGUUGUCCGGAUUUAUUGGGCGUAAAGGGCUCGUAGGUGGUUGAUCGCGUCGGAAGUGUAAUCUUGGGGCUUAACCCUGAGCGUGCUUUCGAUACGGGUUGACUUGAGGAAGGUAGGGGAGAAUGGAAUUCCUGGUGGAGCGGUGGAAUGCGCAGAUAUCAGGAGGAACACCAGUGGCGAAGGCGGUUCUCUGGGCCUUUCCUGACGCUGAGGAGCGAAAGCGUGGGGAGCGAACAGGCUUAGAUACCCUGGUAGUCCACGCUGUAAACGGUGGGUACUAGGUGUGGGGUCCAUUCCACGGGUUCCGUGCCGUAGCUAACGCUUUAAGUACCCCGCCUGGGGAGUACGGCCGCAAGGCUAAAACUCAAAGGAAUUGACGGGGCCCCGCACAAGCGGCGGAGCAUGCGGAUUAAUUCGAUGCAACGCGUAGAACCUUACCUGGGUUUGACAUGGAUCGGGAGUGCUCAGAGAUGGGUGUGCCUCUUUUGGGGUCGGUUCACAGGUGGUGCAUGCCUGUCGUCAGCUCGUGUCGUGAGAUGUUGGGUUAAGUCCCGCAACGAGCGCAACCCUUGUUCACUGUUGCCAGCACGUUAUGGUGGGGACUCAGUGGAGACCGCCGGGGUCAACUCGGAGGAAGGUGGGGAUGACGUCAAGUCAUCAUGCCCCUUAUGUCCAGGGCUUCACGCAUGCUACAAUGGCUGGUACAGAGAGUGGCGAGCCUGUGAGGGUGAGCGAAUCUCGGAAAGCCGGUCUCAGUUCGGAUUGGGGUCUGCAACUCGACCUCAUGAAGUCGGAGUCGCUAGUAAUCGCAGAUCAGCAACGCUGCGGUGAAUACGUUCCCGGGGCU
rnacentral:rRNA from 1 species